UGCAAUUAUUCAAUCUCGUUCCCAGAGUAUGCCUGUUCGCGGGUUAUGUAGUGGCAUGACCCGCGAACAGGCAUACUCUGGGAACGAGAUUGGCAAUUAUUUUA